UAGAAUUCCACGUGUAGCGGUGAAAUGCGUAGAGAUGUGGAGGAAUACCGGUGGCUAAGGCGGCCUUCUGGACAGAUACUGACGCUGAGAUGCGAAAGCGUGGGGAGCAAACAGGAUUAGAUACCCUGGUAGUCCACGCUGUAAACGAUGUCUAUUUGGAGUUUGUUGCCUUGAGUGAUGGGCUCCGAAGCUAACGCGAUAAAUCGACCGCCUGGGGAGUACGGCCGCAAGGUUAAAACUCAAAUGAAUUGACGGGGGCCCGCACAAGCGGUGGAGCAUGUGGUUUAAUUCGAUGCAACGCGAAGAACCUUACCUGGUCUUGACAUCCACAGAAUCUUGCAGAGAUGCGAGAGUGCCUUCGGGAACUGUGAGACAGGUGCUGCAUGGGCUGUCGUCAGCUCGUGUUGUGGAAUGUUGGGGUUAAGUCCCGCAACGAGCGCAACCCUUAUCCUUUGUUGCCAGCGAUUUGGUCGGGAACUCAAAGGAGACUGCCGUUGAUAAAGCGGAGGAAGGUGGGGACGACGUCAAGUCAUCAUGGCCCUUACGACCAGGGCUACACACGUGCUACAAUGGCGUAUACAAAGGGAGGCGACCUCGCGAGAGCAAGCGGACCUCAUAAAGUACGUCUAAGUCCGGAUUGGAGUCUGCAACUCGACUCCAUGAAGACGGAAUCGCUAGUAAUCGUGAAUCAGAAUGU
rnacentral:rRNA from 1 species